UCUUAGCGGCGGACGGGUGAGUAAUGCUUAGGAAUCUGCCUAUUAGUGGGGGGACAACAUUCCGAAAGGRAAUGCUAAUACCGCAUACGUCUACGGGAGAAAGCAGGGGAUCUUCGGACCUUGCGCUAAUAGAUGAGCGUAAGUCGGAUUAGCUAGUUGGUGGGGUAAAGGCCUACCAAGGCGACGAUCUGUAGCGGGUCUGAGAGGAUGAUCCGCCACACUGGGACUGAGACACGGCCCCAGACUCCUACGGGAGGCAGCAGUGGGGAAUAUUGGACAAUGGGGGGAACCCUGAUCCAGCCAUGCCGCGUGUGUGAAGAAGGCCUUAUGGUUGUAAAGCACUUUAAGCGAGGAGGAGGCUACUGAGACUAAUACUCUUGGAUAGUGGACGUUACUCGCAGAAUAAGCACCGGCUAACUCUGUGCCAGCAGCCGCGGUAAUACAGAGGGUGCGAGCGUUAAUCGGAUUUACUGGGCGUAAAGCGUGCGUAGGCGGCUUUUUAAGUCGGAUGUGAAAUCCCCGAGCUUAACUUGGGAAUUGCAUUCGAUACUGGGAAGCUAGAGUAUGGGAGAGGAUGGUAGAAUUCCAGGUGUAGCGGUGAAAUGCGUAGAGAUCUGGAGGAAUACCGAUGGCGAAGGCAGCCAUCUGGCCUAAUACUGACGCUGAGGUACGAAAGCAUGGGGAGCAAACAGGAUUAGAUACCCUGGUAGUCCAUGCCGUAAACGAUGUCUACUAGCCGUUGGGGCCUUUGAGGCUUUAGUGGCGCAGCUAACGCGAUAAGUAGACCGCCUGGGGAGUACGGUCGCAAGACUAAAACUCAAAUGAAUUGACGGGGGCCCGCACAAGCGGUGGAGCAUGUGGUUUAAUUCGAUGCAACGCGAAGAACCUUACCUGGCCUUGACAUACUAGAAACUUUCCAGAGAUGGAUUGGUGCCUUCGGGAAUCUAGAUACAGGUGCUGCAUGGCUGUCG
rnacentral:rRNA from 1 species